CCUACGGGAGGCUGCAGUGGGGAAUAUUGCACAAUGGGCGCAAGCCUGAUGCAGCCAUGCCGCGUGUGUGAAGAAGGCCUUCGGGUUGUAAAGCACUUUCAGCGGGGAGGAAGGCGUUAAGGUUAAUAACCUUGGCGAUUGACGUUACCCGCAGAAGAAGCACCGGCUAACUCCGUGCCAGCAGCCGCGGUAAUACGGAGGGUGCAAGCGUUAAUCGGAAUUACCGGGCGUAAAGCGCACGCAGGCGGUCUGUCAAGUCGGAUGUGAAAUCCCCGGGCUCAACCUGGGAACUGCAUUCGAAACUGGCAGGCUAGAGUCUUGUAGAGGGGGGUAGAAUUCCAGGUGUAGCGGUGAAAUGCGUAGAGAUCUGGAGGAAUACCGGUGGCGAAGGUGGCCCCCUGGACAAAGACUGACGCUCAGGUGCGAAAGCGUGGGGAGCAAACAGGAUUAGAUACCCGUGUAGUC
rnacentral:rRNA from 1 species